GGGCGUAUAGCUUAGUCAUAGAGCACAUGCUUAGUGUGCAUGAGGUCCGGGGUUCAACCCCUAGUACCUCCA
rnacentral:tRNA from 1 species